rnacentral:rRNA from 1 species
CGAGCGCACCCACAUCUUUAGUUGCCAUCAGGUUAAGCUGGGCACUCUAGAGAAACUGCCCGUGAUAAGCGGGAGGAAGGUGUGGAUGACGUCAAGUCCUCAUGGCCCUUACGGGUUGGGCUACACACGUGCUACAAUGGCAUCUACAGUGAGUUAAUCUCCAAAAGAUGUCUCAGUUCGGAUUGGGGUCUGCAACUCGACCCCAUGAAGUCGGAAUCGCUAGUAAUCGCGUAACAGCAUGACGCGGUGAAUACGUUCCCGGGCCUUGCACACACCGCCCGU